rnacentral:rRNA from 1 species
UGAGGAAUAUUGGUCAAUGGACGAGAGUCUGAACCAGCCAAGUAGCGUGCAGGAUGACGGCCCUAUGGGUUGUAAACUGCUUUUGUUUGGGAAUAAUCGACAUUACGUGUAAUGUUUUGCAUGUACCAUUCGAAUAAGGACCGGCUAAUUCCGUGCCAGCAGCCGCGGUAAUACGGAAGGUCCAGGCGUUAUCCGGAUUUAUUGGGUUUAAAGGGAGUGUAGGCGGUUGGUUAAGCGUGUUGUGAAAUGUAGAUGCUCAACAUCUGACUUGCAGCGCGAACUGGCUGGCUUGAGUACACACAACGUAGGCUGAAUUCAUGGUGUAGCGGUGAAAUGCUUAGAUAUCAUGAAGAACUCCGAUUGCGAAGGCAGCUUACGGGAGUGUUACUGACGCUUAAGCUCGAAGGUGCGGGUAUCGAACAGG